rnacentral:rRNA from 1 species
UGGGGAAUAUUGCACAAUGGGCGCAAGCCUGAUGCAGCCAUGCCGCGUGUAUGAAGAAGGCCUUCGGGUUGUAAAGUACUUUCAGCGAGGAGGAAGGCGGUAAGGUUAAUAACCUUAUCGAUUGACGUUACUCGCAGAAGAAGCACCGGCUAACUCCGUGCCAGCAGCCGCGGUAAUACGGAGGGUGCAAGCGUUAAUCGGCAUUACUGGGCGUAAAGCGCACGCAGGCGGUCUGUCAAGUCGGAUGUGAAAUCCCCGGGCUCAACCUGGGAACUGCAUUCGAAACUGGCAGGCUAGAGUCUUGUAGAGGGGGGUAGAAUUCCAGGUGUAGCGGUGAAAUGCGUAGAGAUCUGGAGGAAUACCGGUGGCGAAGGCGGCCCCCUGGACAAAGACUGACGCUCAGGUGCGAAAGCGUGGGGAGCAAACA